UACGUAGGGUGCGAGCGUUGUCCGGAAUUACUGGGCGUAAAGAGCUCGUAGGUGGUUUGUCGCGUUGUUCGUGAAAACUCACAGCUCAACUGUGGGCGUGCGGGCGAUACGGGCAGACUAGAGUACUGCAGGGGAGACUGGAAUUCCUGGUGUAGCGGUGGAAUGCGCAGAUAUCAGGAGGAACACCGGUGGCGAAGGCGGGUCUCUGGGCAGUAACUGACGCUGAGGAGCGAAAGCGUGGGUAGCAAACAGG
rnacentral:rRNA from 1 species